GGGUUUCUCUGAAGCCCAACCUCCCACCCGUGUAUACCGUACCCUGUUGCUUCGGCGGGCCCGCCUCACGGCCGCCGGGGGGCCUCGCGCCCCCGGGCCCGCGCCCGCCGAAGACCCCAACACGAACACUGUCUGAAAAGUGCAGUCUGAGUCGAUUGUUACCAAUCAGUCAAAACUUUCAACAAUGGAUCUCUUGGUUCCGGCAUCGAUGAAGAACGCAGCGAAAUGCGAUAACUAAUGUGAAUUGCAGAAUUCAGUGAAUCAUCGAGUCUUUGAACGCACAUUGCGCCCCCUGGUAUUCCGGGGGGCAUGCCUGUCCGAGCGUCAUUGCUGCCCUCAAGCACGGCUUGUGUGUUGGGCCCCGUCCCCGGUACCCCCGGGGACGGGCCCGAAAGGCAGCGGCGGCACCGCGUCCGGUCCUCGAGCGUAUGGGGCUUUGUCACCCGCUCUGCAGGCCCGGCCGGCGCCAGCCGACCAACCCAACCAUUUUCUACAGGUUGACCUCGGAUCAGGUAGGGAUACCCGCUGAACUUAAGCAUAUCAUAAGCGGAGGAA
rnacentral:rRNA from 1 species